GUCCUAGCCUUAAACGAUGAUGACUUGGUGUGUCGGGUUUCUAGUCCCGAUGUGCCGGAGCUAACGCGUUAAGUCAUCCGCCUGGGGAGUACGGUCGCAAGACUGAAACUCAAAGGAAUUGACGGGGACCCGCACAAGCGGUGGAGCAUGUGGUUUAAUUCGACGCAACGCGAAGAACCUUACCUGGGCUAGAAUGCGAAGGACGCAAGUGCAAAACAUCUGCUUCUGGGGUAAAACUCAGACCUGAAGCAAGGUGCUGCAUGGCUGUCGU
rnacentral:rRNA from 1 species